AGAAUGCUUUAAUAUCAUUAUCUAAAGAAUACUAUAAUACCAUUCUCUAAGAAAUGAUAUAAUACCAUUCACUAAAGAAUGCUACAAUACUAUUCUCUAAGAAAUACUAUAAUACCAAUGACCAAGGAAUGCUACAAUACCAUUCUCUCGGGAAUACUAUCAUACCAAUCACCAAGGAACGCUUUAAUACCAUUCUAAAGAAUGCCCCAAGACCAUCCUAAAGAAUGCCUCAAUACCAUUCUACAGAAUGCUUUAAUACCAUUUCAAAAUUCGUGCAGCAGUGACGGGUUCUCUAAAUUGAACAUAUUCAUACUCGAUCACAUAGAUAUUUUGAGCUGACAGAAGUGAGGUACAAAUGGUUUACAAUUAGACGUAGUUCUUGCACAUGCACAUGUCCCCAAAUUUCAAUCAACUAUCUCAAAGUUUAAAUAAAACAUAAAAAUCUGGAAAGCAGCAGGAAUACAUUUGAUUCAAACAAGACCUUCAAAGGAAUAUAGUAGACUGAGUGCCGCAACGUUUGCCUGAAGAACUUUGUAGUCAAAGGUCAUUUUGUUAUUUGAGUAGAAAUUCCGAAUGUCCCUGUUACUGAGGUAUAGGGCUUUUUUGUGGCCGAACUGGUAGACAUCUACAUAAAAAUCUAGAAAGCAGCAGGAAUACAUUUGAUUCAAACAAGACCUUCAAAGAAAUACAGUAGACUGAGUGCCGCAACGUUUGUCUGAAGAACUUUGUAGUCAAAGGUCAUUUUGUUAUUUGAGUAGAAAUUCCGAAUUUCCCUGUUACUGAGGUAUAGGGCUUUUUUGCGGGCGAACUGGUAGACAUCUACAAACUGAGAAAAAAGAACCAGUAAUUUGCAUUAAGAGCUCUCUAUAUUAUACGGCAAUAUGUUGGUUUCAAAAAUAAUUAAUUGAAUCGUAAGAUUUCUCUGGAUUUGACCAUUCUGUAUCGUAGGAUGUGGUCAGCUGCCAUCUGUAUCAAAUGCCUUUCCAACAGUGAAUGAAAGUUCCAAUAGAUACCCCGUCGGUAAAAGAAUUGGCUAUUCGUGUAUAGAAGGAGCCUACAUGAUUGGUAAGGGGGAAUCUCGGUGUCUGUCAAAUGGUACAUGGUCAGACGUCAGCUGUGUAUUUGUAAAAACCUGCCACGAAGCCGAUAUUUUAUUACUAGACACAUCAGGCCCUAUUAAAAUAAAACCAAUUGGGAGUGAAGACGUUGUAACCGUUUCGUGUGAGAGAAAACAAAAUGAUGUUUACACAGUUAUAGGUCACGACCUUGCAAACAGAACACAUAUCAAUGGUCCGGAGGAUUCUUUCAGUUACGUUUUACCCAUUGAAUACACAAUACCACUAGAUCUAGCCAUUGGUGUAGUCAACGUCUCGUCAGAAUGUGAGCAGUUUAUCAAAUUUGAAUGUUUCGAGGUUGGCGCCCAGUAUAACUCCUUUAGAACCCGUACAGGAGAACAGGCAGAUUAUUUUGCUGGUGGAGUGAAGGGACGAGGCGAUAAUAAUUGCGCCUGUCACAUCAACAAUACGUGUAUAAACCAAGGCGUAUGUAACUGUAGAUUAAAUACACCAGAAUGGUAUGCAGACACAGGAUAUAACCGAUAUAAAGAAGAUCUACCAAUCACGGCGUUUCUAGCUGGAGACACAGGGCAUCGUGGAGAAGAGGCUUACAUAACUAUCGGAAGUUUAAAAUGUAAAGGAGAGUCAUAAUAUGAAGAGCUAGAAUAUAUCAAUUACACUGCUUAGUUGUGAUUAACCUGAUAAUUAACUCGAUAAUGGUGUGAUAGGGCAAUACACGUGUAUCUGUUUGAUAUGAUCGUCUGAAAGAAAUUGUAACGUUUACUUUAUUAACGGUAGAGUAGAGAUAAUAAUAACGAAAUAAAUAAGGAGGUAAACGGCAAGCCGUUUUUACCGUCCAUAGGGACAUGAAGGCCAACACGGGGCUUUUGUUAUAGAGCCAGUUAACAAGACCCUAACCCCCACUCUAGCCGCGUGGGGGGGGGAAUGGUUAUCACGUGCGCGCUGUAUCAUAAGGCCUGUCAUUGAGUCAACUGGUGUGGUUUCGAAUUCCCGGUUGUACGUGACAAGGCCUAGGGUCGCCUGUCCAACCUCGUGUUUUUCCUGGUCGUCUGGUUUUCUCCCACUGCUAAGGACCCCUACGCGCAAGCGAAUUAUUGAAAUAAAAAAAAAUAAACCAUAUGUUAGUCCCGAAAUGACCUAGUUUGUGUCAAGUGGACGUUAAACCCCUUUUCUCUCUCUCCCACAGUGAAACAUAGCUACACUACACAUACGGAAGCUUUAAAUCCAGGGACCGUCGAGAUAGCUCCACAAAACGAACAAAAAUAUUUCAAGAUAUUAUGGAUAACCGAUAAGAACAUUCUGGAAAGUGGGCCUAUAUGAUGGAGGCCAUAAAUUUACCGAACGUUUAUCGCCGUUUUAUUUCGUUAUUAUUACCCCCUCAUCAUAACGUUUAUCUAUUUCGUUAUUAUUACCAUAUGAAAUUAUUUCGAUAUAUCAAUUACAGUCAUAAACUUGGACUGUUACUUGCACUGCAUUGUAUCUAUAAAUAGAAUUCAGUUAUAUUAGUAUUUAUUUGUUUGUAAUACCACUAAACAAUUCACCAAAAUAAGAUUUUUACAAGCGAUAACACCAUGAUACUUACUUUCAAACUAAUUAACCUUCAUUAUUAAUAAUAUGCAGCUAUCAUGGUACUCUUCAUUUAUCAAAUGUAUUCUCAAACAAUACAACAAAUACUAUUAAAUAAAAUGAAAUGGGGUUUAACGUCUUACUUGUGCACACCAGUCUGUCACUCGGCAAACCUCAACAGAUUCCAGUACCCUACAUCUAAUCUCGGCUGUAUGACAAAGUCCGCCAUUAGAACUACUUUCAAGUUCCCGGAUUACAAUGGCGUUGUCCAUGACGACCAAUGACGUCAUUGAUGACGACGUAUUUGAAAAAUGUUUUAUCUUACAAAAUUUUCAAAGUUUGAAGCUGUUUUUCUUUCAAGUUUAUCUGAUUUUCUUUAGACAAGGACAAAUUUGCACUGAAAAUUCUACACACUCUUCGAACGACGCAAUUUUGAGAACUUCUUUCUAAACGCGGGCAAGUUUCCCUUAUAAGUAAACCGGUGCCGCAUCGCAAAUGUAUAGGCGUAGGUACAUAUCACUUACUGUCAUACAGCCGAGGCUAGAUGUAGGGUACCGGAAUCUGCCGAGGUUUGCCGAGUGACCAGUCUGUAUAAUGAAGAUGGCUUUAUACCGUGCAGUGUCCGAAGAGGACAAUGUUGCCCGCUUCGUUAAACAGCGAUCUUUGUCGCAUUUAAUACAGAAAACGCUGGAAAAUCGUAUUGUUCUAAAUCUAAAUUUAUAUAUCUAUAAAACAUCACAACAAUAUAAUUUCGCUUUACAGUGUAACAUUUAUCUUAUAAGCACAUAAAGCACUUAAGCAUUC